CUUGGUCAUUUAGAGGAAGUAAAAGUCGUAACAAGGUUUCCGUAGGUGAACCUGCGGAAGGAUCAUUAAAGAAUGCCCCGUUUUUUGAAAUGGGUUCUAUUCCCAAACCGUGUAUACAUACCUUUGUUGCUUUGGCAGGCCGCCUUCGGGCGUCGGCUCACGCUGACCGCGCCUGCCAGAGGACCCAAACUCGUUUGUUUAGUGAUGUCUGAGUACUAUAUAAUAGUUAAAACUUUCAACAACGGAUCUCUUGGUUCUGGCAUCGAUGAAGAACGCAGCGAAAUGCGAUAAGUAAUGUGAAUUGCAGAAUUCAGUGAAUCAUCGAAUCUUUGAACGCACAUUGCGCCCCUUGGUAUUCCGAGGGGCAUGCCUGUUCGAGCGUCAUUAUGACCACUCAAGCCUAGCUUGGUAUUGGGGUUCGCGGCCUCGCGGCCCUUAAAAUCAGUGGCGGUGCCAUCUGGCUCUAAGCGUAGUAAUUUAUCUCGCUAUUGGGUCCGGUGGUUGCUUGCCAAUAACCCCCAACUUCUAAGGUUGACCUCGGAUCAGGUAGGGAUACCCGCUGAACUUAAGCAUAUCAAUAAGCGGAGGA
rnacentral:rRNA from 1 species